rnacentral:tRNA from 1 species
AGCCCAGUGGUGUAGAACGGCCAAGCAUUUGGGACUCUGAAUCCUAAGACCACGGUUCGACUCCGUGCUGGGCUA